rnacentral:rRNA from 1 species
UACAGAGGUGGCGAGCGUUGUUCGGAUUUACUGGGCGUAAAGGGUGCGUAGGUGGUUUCGUGUGUCGGGUGUGAAAUCCCACUGCUCAACGGUGGAAUGGCGCUCGAAACUGCGAAGCUAGAGUGCAGGAGAGGAGAGCGGAAUUCUUGGUGUAGCGGUGAAAUGCGUUGAUAUCAAGAAGAACACCGGCGGCGAAGGCGGCUCUCUGGAAUGCAACUGACACUGAGGCACGAAAGCUGGGGGAG